rnacentral:rRNA from 1 species
UCCCAGAGAAGCUUGCUUCUCUUGAGUAGUCGGUCGGNCGGGGUGAGGGAACGCGGUAGGAAUCUGCCUGGUAGUGGGGGAUAACGUUCGGAAACGGACGCUAAUACCGCAUACGUCCUACGGGGAGAAAGCAGGGGACCUUCGGGCCUUGCGCUAUCAGAUGAGCCUAGGUCGGAUUAGCUAAUUGGUGAGGUAAUGGCUCACCAAGGCGACGAUCCGUAACUGGUCUGAGAGGAUGAUCAGUCACACUGGAACUGAGACACGGUCCAGACUCCUACGGGAGGCAGCAGUGGGGAAUAUUGGACAAUGGGCGAAAGCCUGAUCCAGCCAUGCCGAGUGUGUGAAGAAGGUCUUCGGAUUGUAAAGCACUUUAAGUUGGGAGGAAGGGCAUUAACCUAAUACGUUAGUGUUUUGACGUUACCGACAG